UUGAACGCUGGCGGCAGGCCUAACACAUGCAAGUCGAGCGGAUGAGAGGUGCUUGCAUCUCGAUUCAGCGGCGGACGGGUGAGUAAUGCCUAGGAAUCUGCCUGGUAGUGGGGGACAACGUUUCGAAAGGAACGCUAAUACCGCAUACGUCCUACGGGAGAAAGCAGGGGACCUUCGGGCCUUUCGCUAUCAGAUGAGCCUAGGUCGGAUUAGCUAGUUGGUGGGGUAAAGGCUCACCAAGGCGACGAUCCGUAACUGGUCUGAGAGGAUGAUCAGUCACACUGGAACUGAGACACGGUCCAGACUCCUACGGGAGGCAGCAGUGGGGAAUAUUGGACAAUGGGCGAAAGCCUGAUCCAGCCAUGCCGCGUGUGUGAAGAAGGUCUUCGGAUUGUAAAGCACUUUAAGUUGGGAGGAAGGGCAUUAACCUAAUACGUUAGUGUUUUGACGUUACCGACAGAAUAAGCACCGGCUAACUUCGU
rnacentral:rRNA from 1 species